AUCUCAUAAUUCAUCACUCAUUCCACUAAUCACACUAGCUUCUUUUUUAAUUUUUCACACUUCUUUUCUCUUUCAUUUUUUUUUUCACUGUCACACACAUUGCAUUUUGCUCCCUUCGAUUACUUCAACCAACAAAAAUACAACAACAGAGACCCAAACAUUCCUUCAGCUUCUUCGAUUUCCAUUUUCAGAUAUUCCCUUUGAUUCGUUCAGAUGAGAGAUCCUAAGAACGAUCCUAAACCUGUGAAACCCGCAGCUCAAUCCUCCCCUCUCAUUCUCGACAUCGAUGACUUCAAGGGUGAUUUUUCGUUCGAUGCGUUGUUUGGGAACCUAGUGAAUGAGCAGCUUCCGGCGUUCAGAUUGGAAGAUUUGGAAGCGGAAGAUUCUCUUCCGAAUGGCCAUGUUACCAACAAGUUUGUUGGUUCUCAGCAAGGGGCUUCCAGCCCUCUGUUUCCUGAGGUUGAGAAGCUCUUGUCGUUGUUCAAAGACUCUUGUAAGGAGCUCGUUGAGCUCCGCAAACAGAUUGAUGGGAGACUUCUCAAUCUUAAGAAAGAUGUUGCAGUUCAGGACAAUAAGCAUCGAAAGACACUUACCGAGCUAGAGAAAGGUGUAGAUGGACUGUUCGAGAGCUUUGCGAGGUUGGAUUCGCGUAUUUCAAGUGUAGGCCAGACAGCUGCGAAGAUUGGAGAUCAUCUCCAGAGUGCGGAUUCUCAGCGUGAAACUGCCAGUCAAACAAUUGAGCUGAUCAAAUACUUGAUGGAGUUCAAUAGCAGCCCAGGUGAUCUGAUGGAGCUUUCACCUUUAUUUUCUGACGACAGUCGUGUUGCUGAGGCUGCUUCAAUUGCCCAGAAAUUACGGACAUUUGCUGAGGAAGAUAUUGGUAGACUUUCAUCAGCUGUUGGAAAUGCAGCUGCUAGCAGAGGAUUAGAAGUUGCAGUUGCUAAUUUGCAGGACUAUUGCAAUGAAUUGGAGAAUAGAUUGAUUUCUCGGUUUGAUUCUGCAUCACAGAAAAGAGAAUUGACUACAAUGGCGGAAUGUGCCAAAAUUUUGUCUCAGUUCAAUAGGGGCACAAGUGCGAUGCAACAUUAUGUGGCAACACGUCCGAUGUUUAUUGAUGUGGAAGUAAUGAAUGCAGACACUAGGCUGGUUCUUGGUGACCAGGCUGUACAGGCUAGUCCUAGUGAUGUUGCUUCUGGGCUUUCGUCUUUGUAUAAAGAAAUCACAGAUACCGUUAGAAAAGAGGCAGCAACAAUAACUGCUGUAUUCCCUUCUCCAAGUGAAGUUAUGUCGAUUUUAGUUCAGCGAGUUUUAGAGCAGCGAAUCACAGCUCUUCUGGACAAACUCUUAAUGAAACCGUCUCUUGUGAAUUUACCUUCCAUGGGGGAAGGUGGGCUGCUACUAUAUCUUAGAAUGCUGGCAGUGGCAUAUGAAAAGACUCGAGAACUUGCUACAGAUCUACGGACUGUGGGAUGUGGUGACUUGGAUGUCGAGGGUCUGACAGAGUCCCUGUUUUCUAGUCACAAAGAUGAAUAUCUUGAAUAUGAGCAGGCAGCUCUUAGACAAUUAUAUAAAGUGAAGAUGGAGGAAUUGCGAGCGGAAGGCCAGAUUUCUGAUUCAUCUGGGUCACUUGGACGCUCAAAAGGAGCAUCAGUGGCUGCUGCUUCAUCUCAGCAACAAAUAUCUGUCACUGUGGUGACAGAGUUUGUCCGUUGGAAUGAAGAAGCCAUAUCAAGAUGCAAUCUCUUCUGUUCCCAGCCUGCCACACUUGCAACCCAUGUUAAAGCCGUGUUUACAUGUUUACUAGAUCAAGUCAGUCAAUAUAUUGCGGAUGGGCUUGAACGAGCUAGAGACAGCCUGACUGAGGCAGCUAAUUUAAGGGAAAGAUUUGUGCUGGGUACAAGUGUGAGCCGUAGAGUGGCUGCUGCAGCUGCAUCUGCUGCUGAGGCUGCCGCUGCAGCUGGAGAAAGCAGUUUCAGAUCAUUCAUGGUUGCUGUACAACGUUCUGGAAGCAGUGUAGCUAUUAUUCAACAAUAUUUUGCAAAUUCUAUAUCCCGGCUUCUGCUUCCCGUGGAUGGUGCACAUGCUGCUUCUUGUGAAGAAAUGGCAACAGCAAUGUCCAGUGCAGAGGCUGCUGCUUACAAAGGACUACAACAGUGCAUUGAAACUGUCAUGGCUGAGGUGGAGCGAUUACUCUCAGCUGAGCAAAAGGCAACAGACUAUCGAACAUCUGAUGAUAAUCUGGUUCCUGAUCACCGGGCAACCAAUGCCUGCACAAGGUGGAUAUAACUUGAAGACCCAAGGUUGUGGCUUAUCUUUCUCGUGUGCUGGAGUCCGCAUUCACAGCUCUAGAAGGUCUUAACAAGCAAGCAUUCCUGACCGAGUUGGUAUGUGUUGCUAAACCAUUGGCAAAAGUUUACGUUUAAUCCAAGUGGGGGAUUGCGACUGAAGCGUGACAUCACUGAUUAUGGAGAUUUUGUGCGUAGUUUCAAUGCUCCUUCUGUUGAUGAGAAAUUUGAGUUGUUGGGCAUCAUGGCCAAUGUCUUUAUUGUUGCUCCGGAGAGCCUUGCAAGUUUGUUUGAAGGUACACCUAGCAUUCGCAAGGAUGCACAAAGAUUUGUUCAGCUUAGGGACGAUUACAAGAGUGCUAAACUUGCAUCCAAACUCAGUUCCUUGUGGAAUUAAUGAACAUGGUCUUGUGAUCUUUAAACCCCUCUCGAACAUGGUGGAGUUGAUAUGCCGUGGUUUCAAUCCCAUUUUAAAAUUAAUUUUUUUGUAAAACUUUAAUAAUAAUAAUUUUAUUUAUGCUUUUUUUAGUUAAUAUCAAAAUAGCAAUACUUGUUUCAAGUA